rnacentral:rRNA from 1 species
UGGGGAAUAUUGCGCAAUGGGCGGAAGCCUGACGCAGCUACGCCGCGUGGGUGAUGAAGGCCUUCGGGUUGUAAAGCCCUGUCGGGAGGGAAGAAGUUCUGACGGUACCUCCCAAGAAAGCACCGGCUAACUCCGUGCCAGCAGCCGCGGUAAUACGGAGGGUGCGAGCGUUGCUCGGAAUCAUUGGGCGUAAAGCGUACGCAGGCGGUUCGUUAAGUCGGGUGUGAAAGCCCGGGGCUCAACCCCGGAAUAGCGCCCGAUACUGGCGAGCUUGAGUGCGGGAGAGGGAAGCGGAAUUCUGGGUGUAGAGGUGAAAUUCGUAGAUAUCCAGAGGAACACCGGUGGCGAAAGCGGCUUCCUGGCCCGACACUGACGCUCAUGUACGAAAGCGUGGGGAGCA